GGCUCAAACCACCCCAAAAACAAUGACUUUACAUAUGGCAAAUUGGGUGCUAAUUUUUGCUCACACAUAUCAAACAAAAGCUCCCUGUACUCCUUUGCAGCUUGUUCCCAUGCCUGUGUCUCUAUCUUGACUUGCCUCCUCAUAAGUGCUGGAUACUUCCUGCGGUCAAUACCACUAGUCAACAUCCUUUGCUUCCUCCGCCUAAAAGUAAACUGUUUUUUCUCUUCUUUCUUUAAUUCAGUUAACAAUUCUUGAACUUCACCAACCACAGACACAUCUUCCUCCGCAUCAGUGGAAGAUACUGCAACAGCCUCAGCUACACUAGCAUAGUUCUUUCUACAAAUAUCGUUGUUACUCACUUGACUUUUCAUAGCACACAACAA
rnacentral:misc_RNA from 1 species